CUAGCGACUUCAGAGUUUGAUCCUGGCUCAGGAUGAACGCUAGCUACAGGCUUAACACAUGCAAGUCGAGGGGCAGCAGGGAUUUAGCUUGCUAAAUCCGCUGGCGACCGGCGCACGGGUGCGUAACGCGUAUCCAACUUUCCCGUUACUCAGGGAUAGCCUUCCGAAAGGGAGAUUAAUACCUGAUGGUGUUUGAAAUUCGCAUGUUCUUCAAACUAAAGAUUUAUCGGUAACGGAUAGGGAUGCGUGACAUUAGAUAGUAGGCGGGGUAACGGCCCACCUAGUCUACGAUGUCUAGGGGUUCUGAGAGGAAGGUCCCCCACACUGGAACUGAGACACGGUCCAG
rnacentral:rRNA from 1 species